rnacentral:rRNA from 1 species
UACGGAGGAUGCAAGCGUUAUCCGGAUUCAUUGGGUUUAAAGGGUGCGUAGGCGGACUAUUAAGUCAGUGGUGAAAGCCUGCAGCUUAACUGCAGAACUGCCAUUGAUACUGAUAGUCUUGAGUUUGGUUAAGGUAGGCGGAAUGUGUAAUGUAGCGGUGAAAUGCGUAGAGAUUAGGAAGAACCCCGGUGGCGAAGGCGACUUACUGGACGAUAACUGACGCUGAGGCUCGAAAGCGUGGGGAGCAAACAGGAUUAGAUACCCU